rnacentral:lncRNA from 1 species
AUUUGAUAUGGAAAAGGACCAAAAAGAAAGUGGAAUGAGGAAGAAGUUUUGUUGGUUUGAAGGGACUGAGUGAGGGGCUGCUGCAGUUUGUUGAGUGUCCACUCCAGACCCUAAUCACCUGGGUUUCCACUGCACCUGGAGGUAUCACCAGUGGAGGCUGCAAAACAGCAAAGAUGGCAGCCUGCUCCUUCUUCUGUGAGGUCCUUUCCAGAUGGGCACCAAACUGAUGCCGGCCCAAACGCUUCUGUAGGAAGUGCCUGGAGACCUCUGUUGGGAGGUCUCACCCAGUCAGGAGGAAAAGGAUCAGGGAUCUGCUUAAAGAAGCAGUCUGGCUUCCCCUUGUUGGAGUGGGUGCACUGCGCUGGUGGAAACCCCCUUUUGUACAGAAGCCCCCAGACCCUUCGGAGCCAGCAGAGCCUAAUGGGAGAAAAGUGCCAUGGCAGAGGGAGAUUCUGUUGAGAAGAUAAAUGCCCUCUGACUAUGUCUUCUUCAAUC